rnacentral:rRNA from 1 species
UACGUAGGGUGCAAGCGUUGUCCGGAAUUAUUGGGCGUAAAGAGCUCGUCGGCGGUCUGUCGCGUCGGAUGUGAAAAUCCAGGGCUCAACCCUGGACCUGCAUUCGAUACGGGCAGACUAGAGUUCGGUAGGGGAGACUGGAAUUCCUGGUGUAGCGGUGAAAUGCGCAGAUAUCAGGAGGAACACCGGUGGCGAAGGCGGGUCUCUGGGCCGAAACUGACGCUGAGGAGCGAAAGCGUGGGGAGCAAACAGG